AAGGGAAGCUAAGCAGUGAAAUAGCUAUGGCGACGAGGCAGAGACGAGCUUUGACGUCGGAUCCUCCGGAGACGGCGUCAUCUCCGGCGUAUACAAAGGUGGAUAAGCCGGAGAGAUCGGACGGUGAAAAUGAAGGCGUCGAUAGAGGACUAGGUUGGCUUCUGCCGUUGCUUUGCCUAGGGAUGUUGAGGCACAUGAGCGCUACGUCAAAUAUUAUUCACGAUUGUGACGAGGUGUUCAAUUACUGGGAGCCUCUUCACUACUUGCUUUACAAGUCUGGUUUCCAAACUUGGGAAUACAGUUCGCAGUUUGCCUUGCGGUCGUAUCUGUAUAUUCUGCUUCACAAACUGGUGGGUUGGCCUGCUGCUUGGUGGUUUGGAGAGGAAAAGGUGAAAGUAUUUUAUGCUGUGAGAAUUUUUCUUGCAGGGCUGUCUGUCAUCAGUGAUGCUGCUCUAGUUGUAGCCCUUUCCCGUAAAUAUGGAAAGCGUCUUGCAUCAUAUGCACUCGCAAUGCUAUGCUUAGCAAGUGGUUGUUUCUUUGCCAGCACGAGUUUCCUUCCGAGUUCAUUCUCAAUGUAUGCCAUGUCUCUUUCUUCAGCACUAUUUCUAUUUAAUAAGCCUGCCAUGGCAGUUUCUGUUGCUGCCACUGGAGUGAUUCUGGGCUGGCCGUUUUCGAUCCUUGCUUUUCUUCCACUGACAAUUUACUCACUGGUUAAAAGCUUCAAACCUGUGUUUCUUACAGGUGUUGUCACUUCUAUCGUCCUUAUGGUACUCUCAGUUCUUGUUGACUACGACUACUAUAAGAAGUGGACAUCCUCUGUUAUCAACUUGCUGGUGUACAAUGUUUUAGGGGGUGGUGAAAGUCAUCUCUAUGGUACUGAAGGGGCAUCAUUUUAUUUGAGGAAUGGCUUUAACAAUUUCAACCUCUGUUUUGUGUUUGCUCUACUGUUCUUAGCAAUACUACCCGUUGCUAAGAAGAAGUAUGCUCCUGAGUUGCUCAUUGUUGUUUCACCUGUCUAUCUCUGGAUCGCCUUUAUGUCCUUACAGCCACACAAAGAAGAAAGAUUUCUGUACCCAAUAUAUCCACUUAUCUGUGUUGCUGCUUCUGCUGUGAUUGAGAGCUUUCCUGAUCUGUUCAGGGAUAAGUACAAUCCCAACGGUACAUCCACUCUAGUUAAGAUAGCGAAAAUUCUCAGACCUCUAGCUCUUGGUUUGAUUCUUUGUGUCUCCCAUGCUCGGACAUUUUCACUUAUUAAUGGUUAUUCAGCUCCUAUUGAGAUAUACAAGCAUUUGGACUACCAUGAUGACGCUGGACCAGGUUCUGUCCUUUGCGUUGGUAGUGAGUGGCACCGGUUCCCUUCUUCCUUCUUCAUUCCUGAUUAUGUGAGCCAAGUUCGAUGGCUGGAUGAUGGAUUCACAGGCCUUCUCCCAAUCCCGUUCAAUUCUAGCUUGGGUGGGACCUCGGCGGCACCAUCUUACUUCAAUAAUAAGAACAAGGCAUCAGAGAGGCAAUAUCUUAAGGAUCCUGAGCAAUGCACAUUGCUGAUAGAGCUGCAACUUCAACGUCCUUAUCCUACGCGAGGGAGUGACAUGUCUACAUGGGAGAUUGUUGCAGCACUUCCAUACCUGGACAGGGAACUAUCACCUCCAUUGCAUCGAUCAUUCUUUAUUCCAAAUCAAUGGCAGCAGAAGAAUGUCUUUGGCCAGUACAGAUUACUCAGGAGAAUACAAAAGUGAUCGCAGAUGUACACGCUGAAUUUUCUGUUGUCCAGCAGCUUUUAACUCUCUCGGUAUAGUACUACGCUAAUGUCGACUAGUUUAGUUUUUGUAGUCUGAAACUGCCUACACUUUCGAGGGUAGCAA
rnacentral:misc_RNA from 1 species